GCUCUGCUCUGCCUGCGUGCAGCUGUCUUCACCUUCUGCUGCAGUAGAGAUGAGCCGGGGAGGCAAUGAACCCCCAUAACUAGUUUACAGAGUCGUGUGAUUCUAUGUGCUGUUUCAAUGGCAGGGUUGAACCUGUCUUGGGCAGCGGUUAUAGGAAAUGGAGCACUCAGAUGUUUCGUCCUAAUCUUCGUAAAGUGAUAACAGAAAGCAGUCUAAUCGACUUGAAAAACAUUGCAAAAAUAAAAGCAGCAGUGUAUGUCACAAUAGUACAGGAGAACAGCCUUUGGCAUUUGGGGCUGAGGCUAAUAGCUACAGGCUCAUGGAUACCGUGGCGAAAGGGAGUUUGUGUGUGUGAUUCUAAAAGUUCAGUUUUCAUGACAUCAAGGAAGGCCCGAGGAAGGCCACAUUUCACCAGUACCAUGGUCAGAUUCUCAGGACGCCUGGCCCUUCCUGGUCUGUGCUUCACCUAUGACUUUUUAGGUUCUGAGAUCAUGUCUGAUGAUACCAUUUCCUGUGUAUUAGGGAGAAUCUAUUUUGCUCCUUUUCCUACUUUAUUUUCUCCUCUUACAAAUU
rnacentral:lncRNA from 1 species